rnacentral:rRNA from 1 species
CAGGGCUUGACAUCUGGAGAAUUCUGAUGAAAGUCGGAAGUGCCCUUCGGGGAGCUCCAAGACAGGUGGUGCACGGUUGUCGUCAGCUCGUGUCGUGAGAUGUUGGGUUAAGUCCCGCAACGAGCGCAACCCUCGUCGUUAGUUGGUCAUAUUGGUUUACUGAUAUGUAUCUCUCUAGCGAGACUGCCGGUGAUAAACCGGAGGAAGGUGAGGACGACGUCAAAUCAUCAUGCCCCUUAUGUCCUGGGCUACACACGUGUUACAAUGGCCGGUACAACGAGCAGCUAACUCGCGAGAGUACGCAAAUCUCUUAAACCCGGUCUCAGUUCGGAUUGCACUCUGCAACUCGAGUGCAUGAAGUCGGAAUCGCUAGUAAACGCAGAUCAGCACGCUGCGUUGAAUACGUUCCC